rnacentral:lncRNA from 1 species
GACUAGUGAAUAAGUUGGAAAUAAAAACAGACUACAUUAAGUACAUAAGAUAAGAUAAUCAGAUUCGUAUUCUUUAAUUUCGUCCAAUGACACGGAGUUGUCGGACGAGGAUAUCUGAUCUCUCUGUUUGGGGUGGGGAAUUCCAAGCUCAAUAUGGGGUCAGAUGGGGAUAAGUAAUCUGGCCGGCCCAAGCCCGAUACAAGGACGGCGGGAGAUGGGGAAUGAGAUUGGACAUAUGUGGGAGGGUCUUUUUUUAGACAAAAUUACUAAAUUUAGUUAUUGAGCACCGGACAGGUAUCUCCUCCUCGAGUUGCUCUAACUUUAUGUAUCAUGCAUGUUCCUACUACUGAUCGAGUUGGCACGGUUGAUAAAUAUCAAAGUACUCACUCUUGCGUAGUUUGAUUUAUUUCCUACUACUGAGUUGGUAUGGUUGAUAAAUAUCAAAGUACUCACUCUUGUGUUGUUUGAUUUUUUUUUUUAAAUUCUCUAAUGCAGCAACACGCCAUUUUUGUUGGUGGUGUUGGUCCUGAGAGCCAUACUUUCUGUUUUAUGUAUAACCAAGUUGGCCAAUACAAUAUCUAUCGGCCUCAAAUUGGGAAGAGGACGAUGGAGUACUUUAAUAAACUUUACAUAUUAGUUACUGUAUAGUUGUGCUGGGCACAAGUCUUCGAACCCGGUCCCGUUCAAACUGGUUCGAGAUUGUUCGAUCAGAUCACUCCCUCAGAUAUUACACACCGCAAAUCGAUGAUCUCAAGAAAUAAAAAGAUAUUAAUGGCAACAACGAACCUAGUUCGAACGCAAUCUGCAGGCCAGGCACGAUGCAUGUCGGUACACAAGAAUGUGAGGCCCGGUGCAAAAGACCAAAAUGAGGAAUUACAUUUGAGAAAUGACAAUAAGAAAAAUAUGUUUUAUUUUGUUCUAUUAUAUAACCA